GCCGAAGUGGUGAAAUUGGUAGACACGCCAUCUUGAGGGGGUGGUGACUGUAUGGUCGUGCCGGUUCGAGUCCGGCCUUCGGCACCA
rnacentral:tRNA from 1 species